UACGAAGGGGGCUAGCGUUGCUCGGAAUUACUGGGCGUAAAGCGCACGUAGGCGGAUUGUUAAGUCGGGGGUGAAAUCCUGGAGCUCAACUCCAGAACUGCCUUCGAUACUGGCGAUCUCGAGUUCGGGAGAGGUGAGUGGAACUGCGAGUGUAGAGGUGAAAUUCGUAGAUAUUCGCAAGAACACCAGUGGCGAAGGCGCCACUCUGGGCGGUACUGACGCUGAGGAGCGAAAGCGUGGGGAGCAACAGGAUAG
rnacentral:rRNA from 1 species